rnacentral:rRNA from 1 species
AUUGAACGCUGGCGGCAGGCCUAACACAUGCAAGUCGAACGAGUGGCGGACGGGUGAGUAAUGGUUGGGAAACUGCCUGAUGGAGGGGGAUAACUACGGGAAACGGUAGCUAAUACCGCAUACCAUAAGAUGAGCCCAGAUGGGAGUAGGUAGUUGGUGGGGUAACGGCUCACCAAGGCGACGAUCACUAGCUGUUCUGAGAGGAUGACCAGCCACACUGGGACUGCGACACGGCCCAGACUCCUACGGGAGGCAGCAGUGGGGAAUAUUGCGCCAUGGGCGCAAUCCUGAUGCAGCCCUGCCGCGUGUAUGAAGAAGGCCUUCGGGUUGUAAAGUUCUUUCGGCAGGGAGGCGUUACCCGCAGAAGAAGCACCGGCUAACUCCGUGCCAGCAGCCGCGGUAAUUC